UGCUCAUUGCGAGACUACAAUUUGAUGAGGACAGACACGGCCUUGUACCAAACACAAUGCGUUAUCGCCGCUUUUUCUAACAUCACCCCUCAACCUGUUGAUCAUUUUUUGUGCACUGAUAGUUUCAAGGUGAAGUCUUCAGUGUUCGCAAAAAACUAUUACUUAGUGCAAUUUUUAACGCAAGUGCUGCGAAACCGGUCAAUAAGCAAGAACGCGGUGGUGGUAACAUGUUGAGAAAAAUUCAAGUGAAAGUUUAAGGGAUGGCUCGUGUAAUAAAGGAAAAUGGUUUUCCGAUAAAAGGGGAUAAGAAUAAGUUGGAGAAAAAUUGCAUAAGGCGGUGGCGGUAACAAGAUUAGUAGAUUUAUGGAUUUUAAAGGGUAUUACAACAUUACAUUGUGAGGGUCAAGAAGAAAACCCUACUCUCCAUACGCAGUGGCGAAGUUUUUCCCGAUAAUCCCUCGGGUAUAAAUCUUCCCGUUUCACGAAAAGGUCAAAGCGAGCGCCGAUGGAAUUGUACUAAUGGGUCUUGGUACGGGUGUGUGGAAGGAGCGCAAAGUGCGAUAAGGACGAUUCGGAAGUAAAAUUUGGUGCGAAAGCGAAAUUAGCCUUAUUAAAAUGCCUCUGUCCUCGUUCUCCUCCGUCCUUAAUAUGGGCUCUCAAUUCCCAAUUAUCUCAUCUUUCGUUUGUCGGAAUAAUCAAAGCGAGCAACUAAUUACUAACAAGUUUAAAUCUGUCAUCGGGCACGGUAGCCGGCGUGCACUGAGACGAAACGGUUUAUUUAAAACGUCAACAGCGCUCCGAAAAAACGCCCGCACUCUCGCACACAUGAUGCCGAUAAGCCUUCCUAUUCUUUCAGCGAGGCUGAGCGAUUUUCAGAUUUCUAAUGUUUUUGUGCGGGAGAAAAAACGCGCGUUCCGGUGACGACGCCGUUUAUUUUUACAUUCGUUCGGAGCGAGGCUUCCGUUUUUACCCCGAAACGCGGACAUCUGCUUAAGGAGAUGAUCGUCGGCAUGGUUUAAAAAGCAACCGGGAAACAAUGCCCGAUUUUUACGACUGAAAUCAGACCGGAAUCGUUCCGGGGCGAAGAAAAACACUGACGAUCGCACGAUUCCGGCGCGGAUGAGGUGAGGAAAACGUCGCGUGUUAAUGGCCGCAAAUCGGACGAUUUUAACGAUAAAUCCACAUAACUUGGAAGUGUUAACGUGGCGCUUAUUAAAAUCGCCCAAAUGAUAACAUUUUACAGCUUGCUUU